rnacentral:RNase_P_RNA from 1 species
ACAGUGAUGCGGUCUGUCGCUUUAUGCAAGAGGCAUAAAGAGGAAAGUCCGGGCAACGCAGGGCAUCGCAUUUUCUAACGGAAAGCCGGCGGCGACGUCGGGGUUAAUGUGACAGAAAAUUACCGCCUUCCGUUCCAUUCGGAAGGUAAGGGUGAAAAGGCGGGGUAAGAGCCCACCGGCCGGCAUGGUGACAUGCCGGGCCGCACAACCUGCGAGUUGCAAGGUCAAAUACACCGGCAGCAAAGGAUUGCCCGUCCAUUGUCGGGGGGUAGACUGCUUUAGCGAGCCGUGCAAACGGCCGCAUAGAUAAAUGACAGACACUCCGGCCCGUCUGGAGUACAUAACCCGGCUUAUAGCAUCACUGUUUUC